rnacentral:rRNA from 1 species
UACGUAGGGUGCAAGCGUUGUCCGGAAUUAUUGGGCGUAAAGAGCUCGUAGGCGGUCUGUCGCGUCUGCUGUGAAAACUCAGGGCUUAACCCUGAGCUUGCAGUGGGUACGGGCAGACUAGAGUGCGGUAGGGGAGACUGGAAUUCCUGGUGUAGCGGUGAAAUGCGCAGAUAUCAGGAGGAACACCGGUGGCGAAGGCGGGUCUCUGGGCCGUAACUGACGCUGGAGGAGCGAAAGCGUUGGGGAGCGAACAGG